rnacentral:rRNA from 1 species
CCUACGGGAGGCAGCAGUGAGGAAUAUUGGACAAUGGGCGCAAGCCUGAUCCAGCCAUGCCGCGUGCAGGAUGAAGCAUCUAUGGUGUGUAAACUGCUUUUAUACAGGAAGAAACCUCCCGACGUGUCGGGAAUUGACGGUACUGUAAGAAUAAGGAUCGGCUAACUCCGUGCCAGCAGCCGCGGUAAUACGGAGGAUCCAAGCGUUAUCCGGAAUCAUUGGGUUUAAAGGGUCCGUAGGCGGGCCAGUAAGUCAGUGGUGAAAUCUCUCCGCUCAACGGGGAAAUGGCCAUUGAUACUGCUGGUCUUGAAUUAUUAGGAAGUAACUAGAAUAUGUAGUGUAGCGGUGAAAUGCUUAGAGAUUACAUGGAAUACCAAUUGCGAAGGCAGGUUACUACUAAUGGAUUGACGCUGAUGGACGAAAGCGUGGGUAGCGAACAGGAUUAGAUACCCUGGUAGUCCACGCCGUAAACGAUGGAUACUAGCUGUUGGGGGCAACUUCAGUGGCUAAGCGAAAGUGAUAAGUAUCCCACCUGGGGAGUACGUUCGCAAGAAUGAAACUCAAAUGAAAUUGACCGG